rnacentral:rRNA from 1 species
GACGAACGCUGGCGGCGCGCUUAACACAUGCAAGUCGAGCGAGAUCCAGGCCUUCGGGUCUGGGGACAGCGGCGAACGGGUGAGUAACACGUGGGUAAUCAACCCUCGACACUGGGAUAGCCCGGGGAAACCCGGAUUAAUGCCGGAUGGCCCUUUGGAUCUUCGGAUCUGACGGGAAAGGUAGCUUCGGCCUCCGGUCGAGGACGAGCCCGCGGCGGAUUAGCUUGUUGGGGGGGUAACGGCUCACCAAGGCGACGAUCCGUAGCUGGUCUGAGAGGACGAUCAGCCACACUGGGACUGAGACACGGCCCAGACUCCUACGGGAGGCAGCAGUGGGGAAUCUUGCGCUAAUGCGGGUAACCGUGACGCAGCGACGCCGCGUGAGGGAAGAAGGCCUUCGGGUUGUAAACCUCUUUCAGGAGGGACGAAGCAACUCGGGUGAAUAGCCCAGAGGGUGACGGUACCUCCAGAAGAAGCCCCGGCUAACUACGUGCCAGCCGCCGCCGUAAGAC